rnacentral:lncRNA from 1 species
UAUUAAUUCAGUUUUCUUUUGAAAUAUUUUAAAACUGGAUUCGACGUAGGUAAAUUGUGGGAGAUAGUUAGUUUGAACUCUGGCCUGGUCAACUUAAAUUCUAAAAAAAAAAAAUUGUGUGUGUCUAUGCUAAGCAUGCGAUAUCUGCUAAAAACUGUGGUCACACCUUACCAGAUAGCUCGAACUAACGCCGAAAGGAUAAACAAAAGUUUUACAUUUACAAAAUUUUUGCAUCCGUUAGGAGUCCGCGAUGUAAUGACCAAAUAAAACGGACGUGUAAUAUGCCGAAAAAUGGGGUGGAAUAGGAAUAAGAAAAAAAAAAUAAUGUCAGAAUAAAAAGCCAAUAAUUUUGCCUGAUCAUGAUUAAGAAGUUGAGCCAAAAAUAUUAAUGAUACCAAAGAAAACUAACAUACCAAUAAUUGAUUUUUCUUACGCGAUUUGUUUUCAAUUUGUAUGUAUCCGUUUUAUUAUCAAUGUUCUUUCUGUGGUACGAUUGCCAAUGAUACAACUCUCCACAAGAGACCAAAAUGACACAUAAAGUAACAACUAGAGGUCGCCGUACGGCCUUCAAUAAUAAGCAAAGCCCAUACUGCAUAGACAGCUAUAAAAGGCCCCGAAAUGACAAUGUAAAACAAUUGUAACGAGAAAACUAACGGCC